rnacentral:lncRNA from 1 species
UGGGGAUUGAGGCAGAAACUAUUGCUGAGAUAUUUUCUUCCUCCACAUCUCUUUGUUCCUUCCUCUUUAAUGCGCUUUCUUGAGGCCACUCUUGGGCAUGAAGAACUGCUGGAAUAAAAUGUGCUGUGAUAUUUCUAAAACAGAAAUACCUUCACAGUGAACAUGAAAAUCAAUUGUACCCCCUUGUGAUGAACACACCAUGUGUUAACUCACUGAAAGCGAUUUACCAUGGCAUUGGGUGGUGGAUUUAUCACAGAACCUGCUAUGAAGUGGUCUCUGGGGGCAACAGAACUAAAGGUAAAUUGCAUUUCUUACCUAAAGGAAAGAUUCUUUUUUUUCUUUUCUUUUUUCUUUUUUUUUUUUUUUUUUUUUUUUUUUUCUUUUUCCAUUCUCUUUUUUUCUUUUUCUCUUAUCUUAAAGCAUAACGUCAUUGUCAUGACUAAGGUCUGGCUAACGACAUAAACAGAGAGCUAUGGGCGAACAUAGUAUAAUCCCUAGAAUCAGGAAUUACUCUGAUGGGUAAUAUUCUUAACUUGAUUCAAAUAUUUAAUAAUUUAUGUUUUCUAUAUGGUUCGUCAUUUUAUAUAUUUACUUAUUUAUUUUAAUGUUACAUGCAAUAUUUUC